GUUCAUUCGAGCAGGACACGGCAGAUGCUUCUUUCUUGUUUUAUGGAGGGUGGUGUUGGAUUACUCUUCGCAUCUUGUGCUUUUGAGGAUGCUCCAAAAACUUUAAAAAAUUAUCCAUGUUCCCUUUCACAUGGUGGGCGUUUCUUUCCUCAGGCUGAAGGGAAACUUACCCAUGGCUUUUAAAUAUGAUAGGAAAGACCAUCUGCAGGGAGAGAGUGGGACUCCUGCUCUCUGCCUCUGGUGAGGUCAGAAGGAAAGGAAAUGCGGGGGCCAUACGGAGGUGGAGUAUGGAUCUGUUACUCAUUUUGUGUACGGAAUUGAUGGGUUCUUGGUCUCUGACUUCAAGAAUGAAGCUGCGACCCCACGGUGAGUGUUACAGUUCUUAAAGAUGGUGUGUCUGGAGUUUGUUCCUUCAGAUGUUCAGAUGUGUCUGGAGCUUAUUCCUUCUGGUGGAUUCGUGGUUUUGCUGACAGGAGUGAAGUUGCAGACCUUCGCAGGGAGUGUUACAGCUCAUAAAGGUGGCAUGAACCCAAAGAGAGAGCAGCAGCAAGAUUUAUUAUAAAGAGCAAAAAAACAAAGCUUCCACAACUUAGAAGGGGACCUCCAAAUCGCCACUGGCUGGCUUGGUCUGCCUGCUUUUAUUCCCUUAUCUGACCCCACCCACAUCCUGCUGAUUGGUCCAUUUUACAGAGAGCUGAUUGGUCUACUUUACAGAGAGCUGGUUGGUCCAUUUUACAGAGAGCUGAUUGGUCCAUUUUACAGAGAGCUGAUUGGUCCGUUUUACAGAGAGCUGAUUGGUGUGUUUAGAAUCCCUGAGCUAGACACAGAGUGCUGAUUGUUGUGUUUACAACCUUUAGUUAGACACAGAGUGCUAGACAGAAAAGUUCUCCAAGUCCCCACUAGGUUAGCUAGAUACAGAGUACUGAUUGGUGUAUUUACAAAACCUGAGCUAGACACAGAGUGCUGAUUGGUGCGUUUACAAUCCUUUAGCUAGACACAGAGCGCUAGACAGAAGAGCUCUCCAAGUCCCCACUAGGUUAGCUAGAUGCAGAGUACUGAUAGGUGCAUUUACAAAUCUUGAGCUAGACACAGAGUGCUGAUUGGUGUAUUUACAAUCCCUUAGCUAGACAUAAAGGUUCUCCAAGUCCCCAUCCUACUCAGGAGGCCAGCAGGCUUCGCCUAGUGGAUCCUGCAUCAGGGCAGUGGGUAGAGCUGCCCGCUAGUCCUGCGCCACGUGCCUGCACUCCUCAGCCCUUGGGCGCUUGAUGGAACUGGGCACCAUGGAGCAGGAGGCAGCGCCUAUUGGGG
rnacentral:lncRNA from 1 species